CUAUAAAGUUAUACCAACAAUUUGUAUUAAAUUAAUGUAGGUUUCAUUAAUAUAAUUAACUAGGCACCUUAGAAUUUAUAGGUACUAGGGAAUUACUGUAGGGGUACAAGAAGUGCUCUGCUAUCUUAAGAUAUUUUGUUUUGCGUUUUAUCUAGCUCCCAUUACAAUUGAAUCGGUCAUUGCCAAAACCAUAUUUUUUUUCAAAAUAGUUUUUUUUUUUUUGCUGAAAAUCGUUCCUCAAAGAUAGAUGCGUAUUGUGGGUAAAAAGCAGACAAGAUAACUAAUUCCUUCCCCUUCAAAUUAUAAUGAUUAUGUCUAAAACAACUUAAGUCCAGGGACUUAACAGAUUUUUGCAUGCACUGUUUGAUGGCAGGUGUAGUUACAUAACUUCUGGCUAAAAUUAAAAUUUGCAUCAUGCUAAUUGUUUCAACAAUAUUCAAGUCUUCAAUUUGGAUAAUAUUUGCCAGAAAUAUAGAGGAAUUAUUACAAAUAGACCAGAUUUCUUUUCGUUGGUUACCCAACCCAAAUAAGAGAGAAUAUGAUUAUCGACCUUAAAAUAAUGAAAUAUGCAAAAUAAAUAUGUACAUGUGAUAUUAGGGUGGUCCUUAUUUGAGACAUGCAGUUGGAUAGCCACCGUCCGGUUGGAAACACUGUGAACAAUUUUCUUAAAUUUUAUUAGAUUUUUAUUUGACUCUCUUCCUCUCCCGGAUUCAACGUACAACUUCAUUUCCUUUGAUAUACCGGGAAACUAGGCAGUUGAAAUAAAAAUUCGCAAAAUUUAGAGAACCUUAAUGUGACAUUUAAAUAAAUAUUUUUCAAAGAAUAAUUUUCAAUUAUAAGACAUUGCAAAACACGAAAAGAGAUUAUAUUGGUUAAAUUACAAUGGUGGUCAUGUUUUUAAAGACAGUAUAAGAUUUUCAGUAUCAUCGUAGUUUUAUGAAAGUGCUAUUUUUGGCUCUUAGUUAUGAAGACUUAAAUUAGUUAUGGAAAUUAUGUAAUUUAAAAUAAACUACCGUUAUCUGUCAAUUAUUUAUGGGAAUCUAGUUACAUUGCCCUUAAAAUGAGGAACGCAUUUUUCUUUGCUGAAGAAGGUCCAUUUUUUUUUUUUAUAAAAGAUACAAUGAAUGCAAAAUUGUACGUCGUUGGUACCUAUAUGGCGGAGUGCCUUCUUGCCGUAUGCCAAGAAUAAUAUGCCUUUUAGAUAUUGUUAAUUAGGCUCUUUUGGUCUUUUUGGUUUUUGACUUUGAAUAAAAACAAAAGACUAUUCCACUCAUUCACCCAACGUGAAAAAAUACCCUGAAGAAGUAAGGAAUUCUUACGAAACGUUGGGUAAAAGAGUGGAAUAAAGUCUUUUAUUUUUAUUCCCAUUCAAAAACCAAAAAAAAACCAAAAGAGCCUAAUUAACAAUAUCAAUAAGAAUUUACAAAGAAUUGGUAAAACACAUACAACAAUAUGCCUUUUAGAUGGAUUUUAAAAAAGGAUAAUGAUCCAAUGCAUAUGGCAAAGAGUUUAAACAGCUUUGUUCAGUCUGAAAAAAACUGAUAUUAUUUUUUUUUUGUAUUAAAAUUCCAUUAAGAGCUUGUGGAAAUCAAAUCAAGAGCGUAUUGGAAAAGAAAAAAAAAAAAACAGAAAUCAAGACGAGUUUCAGAAAACAUGGUAAGGAGAGAUUAGUUGAAAUCUGUGGAGGGUUUUUGGGUGUAUGCCUGGUAGAUGUCAAUCUGUUUUGCGAAAUGUGCCAAUGUGGCUAAAUACUAAGCACAUAUAAAGAAUGAAAAACAGAAACAUUCAAAAAUUAGUAAAAAUUCUGAUCAUUUUCCAGGGAACUAAAUCAGUGUCCCGAUAAAUUUGAAAAAGAUUUUGAUUUCUUGAUUUUUUUUACAAUUUGUGUGAAUGAUGUUGAAGUUUAUUUUUAAUAUCUGGGGGUACAUUUUAUAAAAAACGAAACGAAAACGAUCGUUCGUUUUUGAAAAACGAAAGAAAAUUUGUGACAGAUACAGAACAAAUUCUUUCGUUUUUCAAGUUAUAUGAAUCAAACCUUUCGCACACACGAAAACGUUUGUUCGUUUUCGCCAUACAGAAUCUCACCCCUGAUUACCUCUACAAUGUGUUUUAAAAAAAAAGUAUAAAUUUAUUUAAUUUCUUUACAAUUCAUUUUUAGAAAAGCCAAGACAUUUUAAAACCUCACUGUCCUUAAAAAUAUGACCACCACUGUAUAUACCACAUAAGCUAUUCCUUGCUAAAACCACUUUAAGUGCAAAACAGUUUUUCGGGGUUUUUCUUUAUUUCUAAUAAAAUAAAACUGUUAUUUUACACAUCAGUUUCUAACAACUCAAAUACUAAAUUAAGCUUAAAAAACUCCUUUGAGAUUCGUUGGCUUGAGCAUGAAACAGUUUUUAUUGGUUCCUGAAAAAUGAAAAUUGUUGGACUUAAGUGGUUUUUGAAAUGACCGAAUCAAUUUUACAUACCUACUUUUAUGUAGGUUGUUGGGUAGGAGCCCUGAAUGAAGUUGAAUUCAAGGGGUAAUUAUUCGUAUAUAAACUUAAUCUUUGUAAGGUAGAUCAGUACAUUGAACAAAUUCUUAGUUUUGCUGUCCAGUAAUUUUUCACUGGUAUUGGUUACUUUGAAGAAACAUUUUAAAAAAUUAGAGUAACCGAGGAGUCCCUGAAAUCUACGAGGGUAGGACCAUAGACAAGUACAACUAUGUAUUACAAACAAAGUUAAAAUACCUACAGGGCUUACCGACGAGUUACAAUUUGGAGUGCUUCAAGAAAGCAUCUUCAGUUCUCUGCUCCUAUUUUUCUUCAAACUCAAUGGUCAGGGUCAACGGCCAAUAAAGCACACCAAACCAUUCAGUAUCAAUUUCGACUUAUAUUUUAUCGUUGCAGUCCUAUAAGACAAAAAAGGGAUUAAUUUAGCAUAAUCUUAUGAACAUAUACAUAUUUUUUGUCUAAUAUGGUGAUUUUGAAGGAAUGCCCUCAAGUUUUUAUUAUGGAAUUAUUAUAUCAAUCAUCACUCUCAUACAACAUUUUACAUCGCCUUAUGUCCUCUAAACUUGAGUUGGGCUUCCAAAGUGCGCACACUCGGCCCAUUAUUUUGUUUUUUUUUAGGGAAUAAUACACCAAAGCAAACUUUUCUAUCGGCCGAUACUUAAUAGUCCCUAAUGGGAACUUUCAUACAUUUUCAUACUUAUUAACUAUCGGCCGAUAGAAAUUCUACGGGGGCGCCCUAAAUCUAUAUAAAUUAAUUAUUAUUUAUUUUCCGAGAACUAAAUAAACACCAAAAAAGAAACCUUAAAACCUGACGAAAUAAUGCUUCUUUCAUCCACCUUGAAGUGAAAAGUAAAACAACAUGGCUUUUGCUGUAAAAAAAGCAAAGAAAAUAUUUAAUUUUAUUUAAAAAAUAUAAACCUGGAAAUAUAAAAAAAAAACAAAUUAAAUUAAUUAAAUAUAACAAUCAAAUACAUGGUUAUAAUAAUAACCACAUAAUAAAACACGUUACAUAAAAAAUUCCACAACAAAUUCUUAUAUUGCUUCAUUUUUCUCCAUAACUUCCACAUUUUCAAUUUUAUCCACUGUAAAUCUAAAUUAAAAUUCUGAAAGUAAAAAAACAAAAACAAAGCAGUCAAUAUUAAAAAAUGUCAAUAAAAAAAUAUUAUAAAAUAUAAAAAUCAAUCAAAAUUCAUACGAACCGAAAAAUGAACCCUUCUCCUCUCCCGUCUCCUGGACAAUUGGAUGGAUGUCCUCCUGGUCAUUAUAAUAUGCUCGUCCGGAACAUAUAUAAAUCCCAGGUUUGGCUAAAAUUUAUAUACAUAAAUAUAUAAAUUUAAGAUUAAACAACAAAAUAUUUUUCAACUUACAAAUACGUGGGGUCCAUCUCCAAUGGCUUCCACGAGAAGAAGUUGUGGCAAAGCUGGAAUGCUUACCAAAUCAUUUUGCCUACGAAACCAUGUUCUUGGAUUUGACCAUAUCCCGCUGCCAAACUAAAACAAAAUUCAUAUAUUUAUUAAAGGUUUAACAAUUUAAACAUUAAAGCUCACAUUCCUGAAGAAUGCAACAUCAAUUAAA